GUUGUACUUGGACCACCGCCCACCAUACCAUAGGGGUUUCACCCUCUUGGCCUGUUUGAUGGCAGCACACGUCUCACAGUCGUGGAUAACCUGAGAAAUACUGUCCAUGGUUAAAUCCACCCCUCGGUCUCGUGCCCACUUACAGGUCUAUCUUGGACACCCCUAUCUUUGCAGCCUGAUCUACCUGCUCAUUGUUUUGGUGCUCCUCAUUGGCUCUACUCUUGGGGACAUGGGCAUCUACAUGGCGGACCUUCACAGAAAUAUAGACUCUCCUGAUAAACACUGCAACCCCUUGGGAGACUGGUGCUUCCCCAGGGCAGGAGGAAGAAUUUGCUGACAGCAUGGACACUCCCAUCACAUCAGAUGCUGUCAAGCUCUGCAGCAGCAGAAUGAGAAAGGGACUGGCUUGCAAUGCACAAGGCAACAAACAACACCAGCGGCACCAGGAAACCUUCAACCAAACCUGAGCUGUGAGCUGCAAAGAGGAAACCUUUCUUAAUCUACCUCUAUUUACCACCUUUAUACACUUAACAGCUGCUUUCCAGCCUGCCUUUCUCAAUUUCCACCCCAGCUUUUCUUACAUUGUUACCUGAAACAGCAAGAAACAUGUCUAAGAGUUUUCAGCUGAACAAGAUGAAAACCAAACAGCUGUCUGAUGUUGUGGUAUGAUGUCCUGAUUUGCCUCAGUUUCCCCUGAUUUCUCCCUGAAAUUUCCUUCCCUGGUGGGUUGUCAAUCACCUCUCCUUUUCCCCAACCUUGACCCCUGCUGGGCACUGUCUA